rnacentral:rRNA from 1 species
CACGUAGGGUGCGAGCGUUGUCCGGAAUUAUUGGGCGUAAAGAGCUCGUAGGCGGUGUGUCGCGUCGGCCGUGAAAACCUGCAGCUCAACUGUGGGCUUGCGGUCGAUACGGGCAUCACUGGAGUUCGGCAGGGGAGACUGGAAUUCCUGGUGUAGCGGUGAAAUGCGCAGAUAUCAGGAGGAACACCGGUGGCGAAGGCGGGUCUCUGGGCCGAUGACUGACGCUGAGGAGCGAAAGCGUGGGGAGCGAACAGG